GAUGAACGCUGGCGGCGUGCCUAAUACAUGCAAGUCGAGCGAACAGACGAGGAGCUUGCUCCUCUGACGUUAGCGGCGGACGGGUGAGUAACACGUGGAUAACCUACCUAUAAGACUGGGAUAACUUCGGGAAACCGGAGCUAAUACCGGAUAAUAUAUUGAACCGCAUGGUUCAAUAGUGAAAGACGGUUUUGCUAUCACUUAUAGAUGGAUCCGCGCCGCAUUAGCUAGUUGGUAAGGUAACGGCUUACCAAGGCAACGAUGCGUAGCCGACCUGAGAGGGUGAUCGGCCACACUGGAACUGAGACACGGUCCAGACUCCUACGGGAGGCAGCAGUAGGGAAUCUUCCGCAAUGGGCGAAAGCCUGACGGAGCAACGCCGCGUGAGUGAUGAAGGUCUUCGGAUUGUAAAACUCUGUUAUUAGGGAAGAACAAAUGUGUAAGUAACUAUGCACGUCUUGACGGUACCUAAUCAGAAAGCCACGGCUAACUACGUG
rnacentral:rRNA from 1 species